UUCAACUUGAGAGUUUGAUCCUGGCUCAGAACGAACGCUGGCGGCAGGCCUAACACAUGCAAGUCGAGCGAACCCUUCGGGGUUAGCGGCG
rnacentral:rRNA from 1 species